UCCCUUAGUAGCGGCGAGCGAACAGGGAAGAGCCCAGCGCCGAAUUCCGCGUCUCAAAGGGCGUUUGGAACAUGUGGCGUUUAGGAGGAAUCUCUCCGAGGGCAGACGGUGUCGCAAGUCCCCCUGAACGGGGCUGUGAUCCAGAGCGGGUGCGAGGCCCAUAGCUGGUACCGUCUCCUUUGGGUGUCCCCUCCUUGGAGUCGGGUUGCUUGGGAGUGCAGCCCUAAUUGGGUGGUAAACUCCACCUAAGGCUAAAUACGUCCGUGAGACCGAUAGCAAACAAGUACCGUGAGGGAAAGUUGCAAAGAACUUUGAAGAGAGAGUUCAAGAGUACGUGAAACCGCUCAGAGGCAAACGGGUGGGCCCACGAAAGCCGAAGGCGGGGGGAUUCAGUCGAGAGGACGGUGGGGCAGGACUGGCUGGUUGGACGGACCGUGCCAGGCCGGGUCAGUUCCCGAGAUCUGCCGUCUUUCGACGCAUUUCCCCCUGCUUAGUAGGACGCCGCAACCGGUUGGCGCUGCAGCCAUAAGGGAGAGUAAAUGGAAGGUAGCCAGUGAGUUCUUCUUCGGAGGCGCGAGCUGGUCCUAAGCCGACUCUCCUGGUGCUUGUGGCCCGACCGUGGUCGUGAGUCCCUCAACGGGAUGUUGCCGAGCCCUCUGGCUGGAGCGGGAGAAGUGGCAGGCUGCUUUCCGCGGAAAAAAUCGAUCGCUUCACGCGUGCAGUGGGCGAUCUCCGGAGGUAGCUGCUGGUGCGUUUUUCUCCUGCGCUGGGCACAGGCAGUUGGCGGCGAGUAGGUCGGUCACCCACCCGACCCGUCUUGAAACACGGACCAAGGAGUCUAACAUGUGCGCGAGUCAUUGGGUCUUGAACAAGCCCAAAGGCGCAAUGAAAGUGAAGACCAGCACUGAAGCUGGUGGAGUUGGGAAACUGUGUCACUGAAGAUGCAGUUGCACCAACGGCCCGUCCCGUCCGCAUCGUCGGUGGGGCGGAGCGAGAGCGUACACGUUGGGACCCGAAAGAUGGUGAACUAUGCCUGGGCAGGACGAAGCCAGAGGAAACUCUGGUGGAGGUCCG
rnacentral:rRNA from 1 species